CCCAAACAAGGUCAGGAUCCCUCCUGCACUGCACUGUGCAAGCCCCUGCUGAGAAAGAGUCCCAGUUCUUAAAGCAUUUAAAUAGAUACAUCAAUCAAACAGAGAGCAAUAAAAUGGCUCACAGCCAAAUUAGAUGAGCAAGAUAUUUAAGUUCCUGGUGCUCCGAGUCCCCUGCCCAGUGAACGUGGUUCCAGCCCUCUCUGCAGAGGGCACAGCUCUGGUGCUGAGCGUUUUGUGGCUCCUCCAGAGCCAGCUCUUCCCCGGAGCUGAGGCACAGGCAGGGACAGGCAGCAGAGGGGCAACAACUGGGAGCGAUCUCGGCGCAAUUCCAGGGGAUGGGAGCGACACUGCGGCAGUCAGGGAGAGCUGGAGCGGGAUGUGUCACCCUGGAGUGACAGGGACGGUAACGAGGGACAACAGUUUCCUACAAACCAACAGCAGAAAGGGCAGAAGGUCAGGACAGAAGAUUAACAGGCCCCAACCCCAGAUGUUGUGGAGUUACAGAGCACUAAAAUAACAGUGGCCAUGGCUCUUCAUUAAUGGGAGAUGUGGAGAAUUGGCAGGAAUUCUGUUGGUAAAAAGCCUUGUAAAAUAAAAGAUUAA